rnacentral:tRNA from 1 species
GCCCCCGUAGCCCAAUGGCAGAGGCAGGCCACUUAAAAUGGCUGCAGUGCGGGUUCGACUCCCGUCGGGGGCA